GAUGAACGCUGGCGGCGUGCCUAAUACAUGCAAGUCGAGCGAACGGACGCGAAGCUUGCUUCUCUGCAGUUAGCGGCGGACGGGUGAGUAACACGUGGAUAACCUCCCUCUAUGACUGGGUUAACUUCGGUAAACCCGUGCUAAUACCGGAUGAUCUUUUGAACCGCAUGGUUCAACAGUGAAAGACGGUCUUGCUGUCACUUAUAGAUGGAUCCGCGCUGCAUUAGCUAGUUGGUAAGGUAACGGCUUACCAAGCCAACGAUGGACAGCCCACCUGAUCGGAGGAUCGGCCACACUCGAACUGAGACACGGUCCCCACUCCUACGGCAGGCAGCAGUAGGGAACCUUCCGCAAUAGGCGAAUGCCUUACGGAGCAACGCCGCGUGAGUUAGGAAGUCCUUCGGAUCGUAAAACUCUGUUAUUAGGGAAGAACAUAUGUGUAAGUAACUGUGCACAUCUUGGCGUUACCUAACCAGAAAACCACGGCUAGCUACCUG
rnacentral:rRNA from 1 species